rnacentral:rRNA from 1 species
GGGUGCGAUCAUACCAGCACUAAUGCACCGGAUCCCAUCAGAACUCCAAAGUUAAGCGUGCUUGGGCGAGAGUAGUACUAGGUUGGGUGACCUCCUGGGAAGUCCUCGUGUUGCACCCC